rnacentral:rRNA from 1 species
AGAGCGAACGCUGGCGGCAGGCCUAACACAUGCAAGUCGAGCGCGUGUAGCAAUACACGAGCGGCAGACGGGAGAGUAACACGUGGGAACGCGCCCUUCGGUUCGGAAUAACUCAGGGAAACUUGAGCUAAUACCGGAUACGCCCUUACGGGGAAAGAUUUAUUGCCGAAGGAACGGCCCGCGUCCGAUUAGCUAGUUGGUGAGGUAACGGCUCACCAAGGCGACGAUCGGUAGCUGGUCUGAGAGGAUGACCAGCCUCACUGGGACUGAGACACGGCCCAGACUCCUACGGGAGGCAGCAGUGGGGAAUAUUGGACAAUGGGCGCAAGCCUGAUCCAGCCACGCCGCGUGGAUGAUGAAGGCCUUAGGGUUGUAAAGUCCUUUUAACGGGGAGAUAAUGACGGUACCCGUAGAAUAAGCCCCGGCUAACUUCGUGCCAGCAGCCGC